rnacentral:rRNA from 1 species
AUACGGAGGAUCCGAGCGUUAUCCGGAUUUAUUGGGUUUAAAGGGUGCGCAGGCGGCCAUUUAAGUCAGCGGUUAAAUCGUGGGGCUCAACCCCAUUCUGCCGUUGAUACUGGGUGGCUUGAUUGCGGUCGAGGUUGGCGGAAUUCGUUGUGGAGGGGGGAAAUGCAUAGAUAUGACGAAGAACACCGAUUGCGUAGGCAGCUGACCAGACCGCAAAUGACGCUCAUGCACGAAAGUGCGGGGAUCGAACAGGAUUAGAUACCCUGGUAGUCCGCACAGUAAACGAUGAAUACUUGUUUUCGGCGAUAUAAUGUCGGAGGCAAAGCGAAAGCGAUAAGUAUUCCACCUGGGGAGUACGCCGGCAACGGUGAAACUCAAAGGAAUCGACGGGG